GACGAACGCUGGCGGCGUGCUUAAUACAUGCAAGUCGAACGAGGUGGCGGACGGGUGAGUAACGCGUAAACAACCGGCCCAUCAGAGGAGGACAACAGGUGGAAACUACUGCUAAUACCGUAUAUUGAGGGUGGGGAUUGCGUCGGAUUAGCUAGUUGGAGGGGUAACGGCCCACCAAGGCGAUGAUCAAUAGCUGGUCUGAGAGGAUGAUCAGCCACACUGGGACUGAGACACGGCCCAGACUCCUACGGGAGGCAGCAGUGGGGAAUCUUGCACAAUGGGCGCAAGCCUGAUGCAGCCAUGCCGCGUGUAUGAAGAAGGCCUUAGGUUUGUAAAGUACUUUCAGUCGGGAGCGUUACCGACAGAAGAAGCACCGGCUAACUCCGUGCCAGCAGCCGCGGUAAUAC
rnacentral:rRNA from 1 species